rnacentral:rRNA from 1 species
UGCUAUGGCCAUGCCACCCGGAACACACCUGAUCCUGUCUGAUCUCAGAAGCUAAGCAGGGCCGGGCCUGGUUAGUACUUGGAUGCAAAACCACCUAGGAAGACCAAGUGCUCUAGGCG